CCGCGUAUCGGAGUGCUCUCUGUUGGCAUCGUUUACAUUAAUGACGCAUUAACACUCUGCUACGCUACAAUUAUUAGAAAAUAUUCUUGAUUAACGUUAGUACUUCACCUAUGCUUUCAUAUUGUGAAAACGAUUUUCUCAUUAAAUUAUAGAUCAAAUGGACCUUUAUUUCUAUAUCAUUGAAUUUACAUCGAUUGCGCAUAGAAAAAGGUUAUAUGAUUCCAUUGAAUAAGGAGCUAAAGGAAUGUUUAAGUAAAAAAAAAAAAAAAAAAAAAUGUACGGAAAUCUGUUCUACAGAACUUAUUCUAUUAUUUCAAAUGUUGCAAAAGAGGUUAGGAUUAAUAGUAUUACUGAAUACAUCAACGAUAAAAAUGUCUGCUCUUUCAUGUUUCUAAAAAACAAGGCUUGUAAAAUCUGAUGAAGUGUAUUCAAAUAAGAUAAUUGGAGGGAGAAUAAACAUUAAUUGAAGAUAUCACUAAAAGAAAUGAGUUAGUUUCUAAAGUUCAAUAAUUUCUUGUAGAAAUUGUAAAAGUCAUAAACAAUGUUUUACAUGGAAUAAUUACAAGGAUAAUGAAUUGAAUGGAAAUAUGACUUAGAUCAAGGAAGGAGCUGUUUGAGAUUUCACUUUUUUUGACAUUAAGACUUUCAAGAAUUGUCUCUCUAAACAAUAUCAUUGAUUAACUUUCAGAAUAUUAUGGUCAAACUAGAAGAUACAAUGCAUAUAACUUAGAUGUUAUAAAAAAAAAAAAGUUGUAUGUACAACAAUCUUGUAUAUAAUAUCAGAUUGAUUACUAGCUGUAUCAAAAUUUUUCUUUGAUAUAAUUAUGAAAUGGCUAGAGCAGAGCUUUAUCUAUAAGAAUUCUUUACUUGACUGAAAAGCAAAGAUUUGACAAAUCCUGAUCUAGUGAAGAAAUGUCUCAUAGAAUAAACAUAAUAUAAAUUAAUCAUUCAAUGACAUUGCAUGAAAAAAAGUAUCAAAAAAUGUAUUUGUAUAGACCCAUACAUUGAAGCUUGAUAUAUGUGAUUGCUAUGGUCAUAUUUAAUGUUGAUAAUGCAAGCAGAAUGGAAGAGCUAGAAGAUAAAACAAGCUAUACUGAAAAACCUGGAUAAGAAGCAAACUGAUAAAGCAGAAGUACAAGUCUAAAUAUUGUCUAAAGACAAUAUCUUUGUAAUGAUGAAAGAAAAUUCAUUUGGAUAAGACAGAAGUAUUAACAUUACACCAAUGGAUGGUACUAAUUGGUAUUUUUAUGAACAAAUUGAUUUUGGAAAAUAGCAACGAUGGAUGUGUCAUUGAAAGAGAACGAACAAGAAGAAGCCUUUGAAAAUAUCAACAAUCUCGCAUCCGUUCAAGAGUUUUAUUAUGGUGAAAACUAUAUUCAUAAUCAAACGAACAAAAUCUUUUAGGAAAAUUAUUUGAUUGAGAAAUUUUGUGAAAAAAUGUCCUAAUAUCCAUCACAUUUAUCUUUUGAUACGCUGAAAAGAGGUUAGAACGUUUUAACGCAAGGAACUCAUGAAAGAUUCAGUCACGGUGAUUGUGUAAUUCAAUCAUAAAAUAAUUAAUAUCGAUUACAAUUAUUAACAUUUUUAAAGGUGCAAUAAAUUUAUUCAAAAAAAUGUCAAAACUAUUCAUACGAAGUUUGUCCUUUAAAUACAUAUUUGUAUGUGUAUACGUGAUAUCUUUUGAAAUGAAACUUCGAAGUUGACGAUAAUGUGGAAUGAAAAUGAAAUGAAAAGAAAGAAAUGAAUGUGAAAGAAUAAAGUAUACAAAGAUAUGCUGAGAAAAAGAAAGAGAUAGAGAAUAAAUAUAGAAACAAGUUGUGAAUGAA